CCUACGGGUGGCAGCAGUGAGGAAUAUUGGUCAAUGGACGGAAGUCUGAACCAGCCAUGCCGCGUGCAGGAAGACGGCUCUAUGAGUUGUAAACUGCUUUUGUACAAGGGUAAACCUGAACACGUGUAUUCAGCUGAAAGUACUGUAAGAAUAAGGCUCGGCUAACGCCGUGCCAGCAGCCGCGGUAAUACGGAGGAUUCAAGCGUUAUCCGGAUUUAUUGGGUUUAAAGGGUGCGUAGGCGGAUUGAUAAGUGAGAUGUGAAAUGUCCGAGCUUAACUCGGGAACUGCCUCUAAUACUGUUGAUCUAGAGAGUAGGUGCGGUAGGCGGAAUGUAGGGUGUAGCGGUGAAAUGCUUAGAGAUAAUACAGAACACCGAUGGCGAAGGCAGCUUACUAAUCUAUAUCUGACGUUGAGGCACGAAAGCGUGGGGAGCAAACAGGAUUAGAUACCCGAGUAGUC
rnacentral:rRNA from 1 species